rnacentral:rRNA from 1 species
UACGUAGGGUGCAAGCGUUGUCCGGAAUUAUUGGGCGUAAAGAGCUUGUAGGCGGUUUGUCGCGUCUGCUGUGAAAUUUCGGGGCUCAACCCCGAACUUGCAGUGGGUACGGGCAGACUAGAGUGUGGUAGGGGAGACUGGAAUUCCUGGUGUAGCGGUGAAAUGCGCAGAUAUCAGGAGGAACACCGAUGGCGAAGGCAGCCCCCUGGGCCGACAUUGACGCUCAGGCACGAAAGCGUGGGGAGCAAACAGG